AUGAAAGGAUUGAAUACACACACAAAAAAAGCACAAAACCAAAAGAGGCAAACACCCCGAAGGCAUCUCCCCAAAGAACCCAAAACUAAAGAGAUACAAAAACUUUCACUGUGCACGUCCAUAGUGGGAUUCUCCAACCUGAUACUGUACACUGAAUUUUGUCAAAUGAGGAUUAUUUUGAAGGUGGGGGGGGUUUGUGGAGGAGCAUGUAAUCCUGUAAGGAAGUACAGCUUUGUUGGCGCACAUGUAAAGUUCAACACAUGUAACACAGUGCUGAAUUGUAGUGAGAUAAGAGAAAAGGCACUGCUUGAAUUAGAAGCUGCCAGUCAGAGGUUUGGUAGGCUUUCCUCAUACACCUCAGGAGAAUAUGUAAACAACUUCCAUCUUUCCUUGGUGAUUUCGGUAAAAACAACUGUGUUUAACUCAUAUUGGCAGAUGCAGAAAGCGCUACAUGAAAUGAUGGAGGAGAAAAAAAGCCUGGAAGCAGAACUAGCAGCAAGCAAGUUGGAAGUUGGCUCUCUGAAAGAGACACUGAAAGGACUAGAGGAAGAAAAUAAGAAAUUAACAGAGCAGGAAGCUGCUUUGGAACGCCAACAGCAGGUCAAACAGGUUCUCAGUGAGAUGACUGACAAGACUGAACUGGCAAACAACAAAGGCAAACUUCAGGUACUUAAACUUUGCAAAGGCAGACCGCUCUUUGAGUUGCCUGUCCCUUUUCUUUUGUACUUCCUCUCUCAUUUCCGCUGUUUAGCCUAAGUCUUAUUGUUUUGCUUGGUUUUUGCUUUUGUUUUUGUCUGAGACAGGUAAUGAAGAGGUAACCAGACCCUUUCCCCCUCCAGCCCAUCAGGGCUUAGAGACGAAACUGGGCUGGCAGGUGGCAGAAUACCAUGGGGCUCGUCUUUGGACCAGCCAUUCUGUCCAUCUUGUCCCUCUGAGCUUGCUUAACAUGGUUGCAGUGUUUCUUUCUUUUUUUCCCCCCAGAGUUAUAUUGAAAAAGACAAGGUUGCUUCAUGAUGCUCAGUGUCCUUUGAGACUAUUUUAAAAGCCAAAUUUUUUGACAGAAAAGCCCUUCAAAUGUUGCAGUAUAACUCGCUUUCCUACAGGUUUAUUCUGUGGUACUGCUGUAAGGCCUACAACAGUAUAGGGGGGUAGGGGGGAAUGUAAAGUUCUUCCUCCAAAAUGACAUCUCCAAAGCCCAGCCCAAUGAUGAUUUCAUAUGAACUUGUGCAAUGCCCCUUCUCCAAUGCAGUUGCUGGCCCCGGACAUUGCUGUGGCACCAGGUAAAGUGGUUGUCAUGGCAUAGCUGUAGAUUUUGAAGUACAGGAGGACCCCCGUAUCCAUGGGAUCAGUAUCUUUUGUUUCAUUUAUCCAGUCUGAAAAUAUUAAAAGAAAAAAGAAUUCAAAAGAACUAUUUUUACAUGCUUUACCAGAACCAGCCACUAAAGGGGACUAGAGACUGUGUUAUGAAUACUUGGUAGUGAAGAAUGCAUAGCAUGGUCUCUCAUGCUCACUAGUGACCAGGUAUGGUAAUACAUGUGUGGCGAUCGCCCAUGUCACUCAUGCUAUUCAUAUCCAUGGGCUGAUUUGCAUGAACCUACGAGAGGGCUGGAGGGGGGGAGUCAUCAGCUACAUGAGGCUUGGCAGGAGGAGGGGUCAGAAUGGGAUUUAUUUAUUUAUUUAUUUGAUUUGAUUUGAUUUGAUUUGAUUUGAUUUGAUUUGAUUUGAUUUGAUUUGAUUUGAUUUGAUUU
rnacentral:lncRNA from 1 species